GAUCUCUUCUGGAGAUCCAUUCUGCUGGAGUUUGGUACGUGAGCCCAGGAUAUGGAUCCUGGACAGUGGGAAACUGAUACAUUAAUCUCUAGUCAUGACAAGAGAACUUGACGUAAUUCUGAAAUUUAUCAUAAAUCAUGUGAUCACAAGGCUAUUUUAGAAGCUGAGGCUAUCAUCUGAAUCUUCAGUUAAGGUGCGGAGUGUGCAAAGAAAUAUAAUGAGGUGAAUAACCUAAAAGCCAAAGACUUCUCUCAUUCAUUGUAGCAACAUCUUCACUUUCAAUGGAAAACAUGCUUGGAAGAAUGCUGGUUGCUGACACUGUUAUUGUUUGGAUAUUUUUUAAAUUGAGGUCUUGGGGGAAAAAAAAAUUCUGGAGAAAAAAAUUGAAAAAGCCUGUCUGUAAAUCAAAGGAAAGAGACUAGAAGAGUGAAGUUUCAACUAGAGAAAGUGAAUAUGCUUAAGCAGAGUCUUGUUCAAGCAUAUAUUGCUUCUAAUACAAAACCUAUUGUAUGAAAUUUUUAUUUGUGCUCUAUGUGAUUUUUAUUUUAAGAUUCAGAAGAUGAUGAAGAGAUGCUGACUAUACUAAUGAACAAUGUGCUGAUAUUUUCCUACUAGAGAAAAAGGCUUCUGUAGAUAGCUUUGUGAAUGAGAUGUCACCUAUUCUUUUCCCUAACUGAAUGUUUUAAAUUUCCCUAUGAUCACUGAGGUCUAAAAAUCUCCUCUAACAUUCAAAUUUAUUUAAAAAAAAAAAAUUAAAAAUGUUCUGUGUUGACUGUGUGUGUGUGUGUGUGUGUGUGUGUGUGUAUAUAUAUAUGUAUAUACAUGCACACACGCACACUUUGGCAAUCAAACAUACAGUGAAAUAGUUGAAGCUUAAAUAAUGCAAGAAAAUAUAUACUGGAAGUGCUGAUUCCUAUCUGAAAAAUAUUCAGUUCAAAAAUGCCAUGCAUCUUGAAUCACUAAGUGAGGUAUGUCUUUAAGAUGUUUGGAGUAAUCAACAUGAACUGUUUUACAUAUAAUCUUAAGUACUUUUUCUUCUUCAUUUAUAUUCAGCUUGGAACUGAUAUUUUUUUUUUCCAUGUGUAAACCUUUUAUAAAGUACACUGUAAAAUGUAGCGUAGAUUAUGAAAAUGCUUUAUCAAAAGUCCUGGACAUCUCAGAUCUGACUUCCCUUCCACAGCAUUGAUGAAGCACAGGCCAGUGUGUUCAUUUUAAUGUUGUUCAAUGAAAUUUUAAUGCUCUUAAAUAUAUAUAGUUAAGCAGAAGCUAUGAAAGUGUUACACACUGGUUGAGAGUGAUUUCACUGAACAGUAGCAUUACAGGUUUUUGUUGCUCUUUUACUUUUUUCCCUCACAUGUAAUGAAAAAUUAUUCCAACUAUUUUAAUGAUGAAUGGAAUUGUGUGGUAAUUUCAACUGUUCUGUAAAUUGUAAUCUUUAGUUGAAGAAGAAAUACAACUGGUUUACUGUCAGGACCAUGAGAUCCAGCAGAAAUAUUUUCAGUGUUGUAUUAAGAAGAGUUUUUCAAGUUCAACUGAGUAAGCUGAGCAAAAUGUGAUUUUGAACACUGAUUUCACACAUCAAACCAGUGAAGACUAUACAACACGGAAGUCUAUUUAACU